rnacentral:tRNA from 1 species
AUCCAGGUUAGCCUAGUAGACAUGGCAUCUGCCCAGUAAACAGAACACUGUGGGUUCGAUUCCCAUCCCUGGACA